GGUGAACGUUGGCGGUGCGCCUAAUACAUGCAAGUCGAGCGAGAAAGUCCAAACCCGCAAGGGGGAGGGCGAGUACAGCGGCGAACUGGUGAGUAACACGUGAUCAACCUACCUCUCCGACAGGGACAACCUUUGGAAACAAAGGCUAAUACCUGAUGGCGUUGCUUGCCCACAAGGGCGAGCAAAUAAAGGGGCGUUUGCUCCGCGGCGCAUUAGCUAGUUGGAGAGGUAACGGCUCACCAAGGCGACGAUGCGUAGCCGACCUGAGAGGGUGAUCGGCCACAUUGGAACUGAGAUACGGUCCAGACUCCUACGGGAGGCAGCAGUGGGGAAUAUUGCACAAUGGGGGAAACCCUGAUGCAGCAACGCCGCGUGAGUGAUGAAGGCCUUCGGGUUGUAAAGCUCUGUCUUUGGGGACGAUAAUGACGGUACCCAAGGAGGAAGCCACGGCUAACUACGUGCCAGCCGCCGCGGUAAAAC
rnacentral:rRNA from 1 species